UUUUAUGAAACCUUGAAUUGUUAUUACUUGUAGUGCCAGUGUUUACCAUAUAACUUCCUCUUUCAACUCCAGAGUGUUUGAAAUUUCGUUUUAUUUCAUUGGUGCUGGGUAUAGAUGCUCAAAUUUCCUGCAUGCUAAUCAAGCACGUAUUCCACUGAUCUUGAUACCCAGGUGAAAUUCUUUAUAUUUAUCUUGGCAUUUCUCAUUGAGUACACUACCAACUUAAGCUCUCUGAAGAAAUGUGAGCAUGAAACUUAGCAUACUUUUUUUCUCCCAAAUUGUAUAUAAAUAUUUACUUUGUUAAAAUGUCUCUAUACUAAAACUGUGGCCUGUUAUGAGCAACACAUGUUAGAGAUUAUCUUAAACAUUUGGUUACAGCAUAUCUACUGCAUUAUAUUUUCAUAAACAUUAAUAUUAAAUUAAAAAUAAUUCUCAUCUACAAAUACUAAAGAGAACAUCUUUGUAAUGUCUUAUUUGUUUCACUAAAUGAAACUGUUAAGGGGCUGAGGGCAUGACCCAAUGGUAGAGCAUGCAUGCAUAUAUGCUAAGCCUGGUUUCAAUUCCCAGCACCAACGCAAAAAAAAAAAAUUUAGAAAUUCUGUUAAAGAACAUCUUGGUAUAAUCCUUUAAAAAAUAAUCUUAGAAUCUGAAAUAAACCCUAAGCUUCUCCAAAGAAUUUGGGACUCCUGAGGGCAUCAUAUAUGUUCUUACCCUUUCCUCAAGUUUAAGUGUAGGAGACUUUUGUUUGUCAUUGUCACCACUAGGUAUGCAGUAACCAAAUAAGUAAUGUAAUAUCUAAC
rnacentral:lncRNA from 1 species